ACAGUCAUAUUACGUUGGAACACAGGUUCUUGUAAGAUCACCGAAGUUAAGCAACGUCGAGCCUGGUCGGAACCAAGAUGAGUGACCGCUUGGAAUAGCAGGUGCUGUAA